ensembl:lncRNA LINC00488 long intergenic non-protein coding RNA 488
CCUGGAGCAGAGUUCCGGUGUUAUUGAGCAGCAAGAAUGAGAGCAGAGGGGGAAGCAAAGGUGGCACAUUGAUUAUAACACACAGCUGAGGUCUCGAUCACACUAGAUGUCUCCAGUCAGUCGUGUGGAAAUCGAUGUGCUUCAGAACAGUCUAUUGGAUGACCUGGCUCCAGGAUCAGGGAAGUCAGAGCCCAGACCUCGGUUCACGGUGCUUCCUCAGAUUCUGGGAAUGCUGCAGGAAGCUGAACUUCAGGGGCCCAGUGGGUUCAGGCCCCAGACACCAGGGUCUUUGCAGUCCCAUCAUGAGUCUUGUUCUGUCGCCCAGGCUGGAGUACAGUGGUGUGAUCUCGGCUCACUGCAACGUCUGCCUCCCAGGUUCAAGCGAUUCUCCCACCUCAGCCUCCUGAAUAGAUGGGAUUACAGGCACCCACCACCACGCCCAGAUAAUAUUUGUAUUUUUAGUAGAGAUGGGGUUUCAACAUAUUCACCAGGCUGGCCUUGAACUCCUGACCUAAGGUGAUCCACCUACCUCGGCCUCCCAAAGUUCUGGGACUACAGGAGUGAGCCACCAUGCCCAGCCUAUACUUAUUCCCUGACUUCUCCCAACUAGUAUGUAAACUUCAAGCUGACAAGGAAUUUGUCUUAAAACAGUAUCUGGCAUGUAAGAAGCACUCAAUUAAUAUUCAUUCACUGAAUGAAAGAAGAAAGGAAAGAGCAUAUGACAAGAAAAACAACAACAACAACAACAAAAAGGAUAAGCAAGACAAUCUACGUUUAUAACAGAAGAAUUGAAUCUAGGGGUGCUCGUUAAGAAUUGUGAUCAAGCUUAAAUUUUUCCCAGAAAAAAAAAAGAUGUUUAAAUAGUACAAGAAAAUGAAUACGACAGAUUGCAUCUUGUAAUAAGUGAAUUAUAUCAACAGAGUUACUAAUGUUGAAUCAAUUUCCCCAUUCCUGGAAUAAGCCAAUACUAUUAUCCUCACCAAUGCUCAGUCAUUGUCUCGGGGCGCAAAGCAGGGGAAGAAAGUGUGGUUUUUUCAUGAACACCAAGUGGAUCUAAAAGGGUGGCAUCCAGAGGCUGUCAUCAACUACGCUCCUCAUAGCAGCUUCUCUUAAAGGAAAUUUGAGCGGCACAUUUCUGCAGCCAACACAUGAGUCAAUAAAGCACUGGAAGUCAAAAAACCUGAGCUUCAGAACAAUGACUUCCAACCAGCGGUCCAUGUGAUCUUGGACCAGUAAUACACUCUUUGAGAUUCACAUUAUUUCUUGCUGGAUAAUAUAACAGAGUAGUGCACUAGUGUUUUUCAAGGUAUUUAUUCUAAUACUAGCUCCAAGAAUAGUGUUUAGCACAUAACAAUCACUCGAUAAAUAUUUGUCUGAAGAAAAGAAAUGAAUGAAUAAAUGAAAGAGACAUUAGGAAAGAGAAGAUGAAGCCCUUUAAAAGCAUAUGUAUAAAAGGAGCUUCAAAAUAUGGAUUCUAUCUAUAUCUUGUUACCAUUCUCUUCCUAUCACAUUCCAUUCCUCAGAUACUGAAUUUACAGAGCAUAGCAGCUGCUUGAACACGUAAUGGCUUUUAUAACUCCACAUCUUUGUGCAUGCCGGUCUCUUGCCCUGGAACGCCUUUUGAUCCUCUGUGACUGACAAAAACUGUCAGAAUCCAGCUUCAAUGUCCCUUCUUCUCUGAAGACUUUCUUGACAUCUCCAAGUUAGGAAUCAUUUCUCUCUCCUUUGUGUCCUCACAGUAUUUUUUUGGUAUAUCUGCUAUAGCAUUUACUUACUCCAUAGUGAUUCGUCUGUAUAUCUUCCUCCUCCCACUAGAUGAUGGAACACAUUAAGAGACCCUUAACUAAUGAGCUACAAUUAAAUGUAGGCAUGGAAGGAUAUUGAUUUCUCUCAUUUAUUCUCAGCUCCUGGGGUAGGCAGACAGUGAAUCAGAUGCCUCUGACCACAAGCACAUUCAUCCAUUUAUCCCAUUGU